UACGAAGGGGGGCUAGCGUUGCUCGGAAUCACUGGGCGUAAAGCGCACGUAGGCGGAUUGCUAAGUCAGGGGUGAAAUCCUGGAGCUCAACUCCAGAACUGCCUUUGAUACUGGCAACCUUGAGUCCGGGAGAGGUGAGUGGAACUGCGAGUGUAGAGGUGAAAUUCGUAGAUAUUCGCAAGAACACCAGUGGCGAAGGCGGCUCACUGGCCCGAUACUGACGCUGAGGCACGAAAGCGUGGGGAGCAACAGG
rnacentral:rRNA from 1 species